rnacentral:rRNA from 1 species
CCUACGGGAGGCAGCAGUGAGGAAUAUUGGUCAAUGGACGCAAGUCUGAACCAGCCAUGCCGCGUGCAGGAAGACGGCUCUAUGAGUUGUAAACUGCUUUUGUACGAGGGUAAACGCAGAUACGCGUAUCUGUCUGAAAGUAUCGUACGAAUACGGAUCGGCUAACUCCGUUCCAGCAGCCGCGGUAAUCCGGAGGAUUCAAGCGUUAGCCGGAUUUAUUGGGUUGAAAGGGUGCGUAGGCGGUCGGAUAAGUUAGAGGUGAAAGCCCGAGGCUCAACUUAGGAAUUGCCUCUGAUACUGUGCGGCUAGAGAGUAGGUGCGGUAGGCGGAAUGUAUGGUGUAGCAGUGAAAUGCGUAGAGAUCAUACAGAACACCGAUUGCGAAGGCAGCUUACCAGGCUACUUCUGACGUUGAGGCACGAAAGCGUGGGGAGCAAACAGGAUUAGAUACCCGAGUAGUC